CAAAAACAUGUCCUUUUGUUAUUAUUUAUAUUAGGUCUAACCUGCCCAAUGAUUUUAUUUUGAAUGGCCGCAGUAUUUUAACUGUGCUAAGGUAGCAUAAUCAUUUGUCUUUUAAUUGGAGGCUUGAAUGAAUGGUUGGACGAGACAUAUACUUUCUUUGGUUUAUUUUUUGAAUUUAAUUUUUAAGUUAAAAAGCUUAAAUUUAAUUGUGGGACGAGAAGACCCUAUAGAUCUUUAUAAUUUUAAUUAUUUAAUAUUUUAGUAUUAUAAUAUUAUUAAAUAUUUGAUAUUAUUUGGUUGGGGUGAUUAUAGAAUUAAUUUAACUUCUAUUUAUUUUUUCAUUUAUAUAUGUUUAUUUGAUCCAUUUUUAUUGAUUAAAAGAUUAAGUUACCUUAGGGAUAACAGCGUAAUUUCCUCGGAGAGUUCAUAUCGAUGAGGGAGUUUGCGACCUCGAUGUUGGAUUAAAAUAAGUUUUUGAUGCAGUAGUCAAAUUACUAGGUCUGUUCGACCUUUAAUUUUUUACAUGAUCUGAGUUCA
rnacentral:rRNA from 1 species